rnacentral:rRNA from 1 species
UACGUAGGGUGCGAGCGUUAAUCGGAAUUACUGGGCGUAAAGCGUGCGCAGGCGGCUUUGUAAGCCAGAUGUGAAAUCCCCGGGCUUAACCUGGGAAUGGCAUUUGGGACUGCAAGGCUGGAGUUUGGCAGAGGAGACUGGAAUUCCCGGUGUAGCAGUGAAAUGCGUAGAUAUCAGGAAGAACACCCGUGGCGAAGGCGGCUCUCUGGGACGGUACUGACGCUGAGACGCGAAAGCGUGGGGAGCGAACAGG